ensembl:lncRNA
UUAGUUCUACCUGCAUACCAAGGGGAGCUGGCCAAGCUAGUGCAAGCUGGGUAUGUUGUCAAACUUAGUCAGGAGCAAGUGGACAGAACAAAGGAAGCCUGGUACAUCCCACACCACAUGGUGCAGCAUAAUGGGAAGAACAGGGUGGUCUUUAACUGUUCAUUCUCAUAUCAAGGGCACAACCUGAACGAGCUACUGUUACCUGGUCCAACACUUGGUCCAUCUCUCCUGGCAGUCCUUCUGCGUUUCUGGGAGCACUCUGUUGCCAUCAGUAGUGACAUCCACGGCAUGUUCCAUCAGGUACUCUUGCCACAAGAUAAACCUCUGCUGAGAUACAUCUGGAGAGACAUGCAAAGAGACAGAAUUCCAGAUGUCUAUGAAUGGCAGGUACUGCCUUUCAGGACCACUUGCAGUCCGUGUUGUGCCUCGUUUGAUUUACAGAACCACGUUCUAGAUCACAGCCAACUUGGAGAGGACACACAUGCUUCAGUGGAGAAGUCAUUCUGUGUGGACAAUUGCCUCCAGAGCUUUGCUUCCCGUGACAUGGCCAAGAAUCUUGUAGACAAACUCUGUAGCCUUCUAGCAUCUGGUGGUUUUGAGUUACGACAGUGGGCUAGCAAUGACCCUUCAGUUAUCAGCCAUCUGCCAGCUGACAUUCAGUCUCGGAGUAGCAUCCUCUGGCUCAGCGAAGGCCACCAAGAAGCUCAGGAAUCAACACUUGGCCUGCACUGGAAUUGCCAAUCAGAUACCCUCUCUUACAAACGACGCAAACCAGACAGUGAAGUGCCCACAAUGCGAAGCAUCUACCAGAUCCUUGCCAGCCAGUAUGAUCCCCUUGGCUAUAUUGUACCCUUCACCACUCGAGCCAAGGUGAUAGUGCAGAGGUUGUGGGACAAACAAAGGGAGUGGGAUGACCCAAGGCUACCAGAGGACCUAUUGGACUCUUGGAAACACUUGGAGAGUGAAUUGGAAGAUCUACAGAAUAUCAGUUUGCCCAGAUGUUACUGCAGCAAGGAACUAGACUGCUCUAGUAGUAUUAGGCAACUUCACAUCUUUUGUGAUGCCUCAGAGAGGGCAUAUGGAUAUGUGGCCUACUUAAGAACAGAGAACCCUCAAGGUAAAGUGGAGAUGGCCUUUGUAACAGCUAGGUCUCGUGUUGCAUCCAAGAAACAGCAGAGCAUCCCUCGUCUUGAGCUGUGUGCAGCACUCACAGGUGCACAGCUUGCUAAAGUCCUGAAGGCAGAGCUAAUGUUACCACUCAGUAGUGUCACACUGUGGUCUGAUUCCACCACAGUGCUAAUUUGGCUUUUAUCAGAUUCAUGUCGCUUUAAGGUGUUUGUGGGGACCAGAGUGGCAGAAGUACAGGACUUGACUGAAUCUGACACCUGGCGUUACACACAGUCAUCCGACAACCCAGCAGAUGCAAUUACAAGAGGAAAGUCUCCCUCUGUUCUC